GCGGAAUUUUGUACAACAAUCACAUAUAAUUGAAUAUAGAAAGAAGUUUUUCAUACUCCAAAAUUUUAAAAAGAAACUUUUUUAUUCCAAAUAAGAUAAGUAAAAAAAAAAAAAAUAAUGAAUCGUACCUUUUUAAUUAUAUUCAUUGUUGUUGCAAUUUUUUCUAUUUAUGGAAUGUCAGCCCCUCAAGAAGAUGAUUGUACUUUUAAUUGUUGGCUCAACGAUUGGAAAGAACGUGAUAUGAGGUGUAAUAAUAAUCCAUUGAAAUAUUCGUAUGGUAUACCCAAUAAAGGAAUGUGUUACUGUUGUCCAACAAGUUAUAAAAAAUAAAACAUUAAUUUACCACACGAUAGAUAAUAAUAAUUUAUAAGAGAAAAAUUUUAUUAAAUUUUUUUUUUUUUUUUUUUUUUUUAAAUAAUCAAAUAAAAAUAUUCUACAGUAAAUAAAAUAUAUAACUUUGAA